rnacentral:lncRNA from 1 species
GAUGAUGUCAUCUUUUACAUAUUAAGUUCUUCUAGCAUGGUAACUAAAACUAAACUUUUAACUUCCUUUUAAACCACACACUGUGAAUGCAUCUGUGAAAAAGACCUGCGUACUACAAGAUAACUUUAAUUACAUAUCUUCUGUGGGGUCCAUGCUUUUAGUUUAGUAUAGGUUUAUGCAAAGUGAUACUAUUGGUAAUGUGUAAUUUAAACACACACAGAAACUAACAGGCCCUGCCCCCUAUCAAUGUCUGGGUGAUAUCAGAGAAGGCCAUGUGGGAAUCCAUAACUUUCUUCUCUACCAGGUAGUUCCAAUGUGCCCCGUCCUUCCCCAUUUGAGCAGAAAUAACACAAUGUGCAGAAUACUGCAAGUGAAUUUUCUUUUCUCCAAAUAGUGUGAGCUAAAUCAUGUUUACUAUAGUGAUAAUAUUAAUUAUUCUAUGGAUAUGCUAGAAUUAUUCUACUAUCUUAUGUUGUUUUCUGACCACAUUUUCCAAAACACUUUAAAUUGUGCUUUACCCUUUCAUACCCUUUUAUUGUUUACUGAUUCAUUCCACAAAUUAAAAUUAUUUAACUAAUUGGUAAUAAUGUGCACUGAAACAAAAAACAAUAAUGUCACUUCAGAUUGUGACUGAUUCUUAAAAUAUUCUCUUCUAUGGUCUUCAUG